CUCUUCCGUAUAAUGUCGAUCCAAUAUGGCGCCGUGUGGUGAAUGUGGAACUUAUCCAGCAGGAAGUGGCCGAGAGGACCCGACGACUCGCAAGCACAGUUCGAUAACUUAAACCAUAACAUCGCUCUGAAAACAGAGGAGAUGGUUGUGGAUUUCAGGAAGACCGCAACCCCCCCACACCCUGUGUGACUACCCCUUUGACGAUGUGGAUUCCUUCUGUUUCCUGGGCUCCAUCAUCACACAGGACGUGGGAGCUGAACAUCAGCUCCAUCACCAAAAAGGCUCAGCAGAGGAUGUUCUUCCUGAGGCAGCUGAAGAAAUUGAACCUGCCAAAGACGAUGAUGGUGCACUUCUACACGGCCAUCAUCAAGUCCAUCCUCUGCUUCUCCAUCACCGUCUGAUCCCAAAAGCUACCUGGUCCUCGCCUGCUGUGCUGCCUGCCUCCUGCCAGUCUGGCGUCUCCACCUGGACUCCACCACUGAGUUGCCAGACCUGUACCUUGAGUUUGUUCAUUAAAUUACUUGA